CAGUCAGAAAUGACUGCUAAUACCGCAUAAGCGCACAGAGCUGCAUGGCUCGGUGUGAAAAACUCCGGUAGUAUAAGAUGGACCCGCGUUGGAUUAGCUAGUUGGUGAGGUAACGGCCCACCAAGGCGACGAUCCAUAGCCGGCCUGAGAGGGUGAACGGCCACAUUGGGACUGAGACACGGCCCAGACUCCUACGGGAGGCAGCAGUGGGGAAUAUUGCACAAUGGGGGAAACCCUGAUGCAGCGACGCCGCGUGAAGGAAGAAGUAUCUCGGUAUGUAAACUUCUAUCAGCAGGGAAGAAAAUGACGGUACCUGACUAAGAAGCCCCGGCUAACUACGUGCCAGCAGCCGCGGUAAUACGUAGGGGGCAAGCGUUAUCCGGAUUUACUGGGUGUAAAGGGAGCGUAGACGGAUGGACAAGUCUGAUGUGAAAGGCUGGGGCUCAACCCCGGGACUGCAUUGGAAACUGCCCGUCUUGAGUGCCGGAGAGGUAAGCGGAAUUCCUAGUGUAGCGGUGAAAUGCGUAGAUAUUAGGAGGAACACCGGAGGCGAAGGCGGCUCACUGGACUGUAACUGACACUGAGGCUCGAAAGCGUGGGGAGCAAACAGGAAGAGAUACCCUGGUAGUCCACGCGGUAAACGAUGACUAUAAGAGGUCGGGUAGCAAAGCUACCCCGGUGUCGUUGCAAACGCAAAUAAGUAUUCCACAAGGGGAGUACGUUGGCAAGAAUGAAACUCAAAGGAAUAGUCGGGGACCUGCACAAGCGGUGGAGCAUGUGGUUUAGUUCGAAGCAACGCGAAGAACCUUACCAAAUCUUGACAUCGAUCUGACCGGCCUGUAAUGAGUCCUUUCCCUUCGGGGACAGAGAAGACAGGUGGUGCAUGGUUGUGGUCAGCUCGUGUCGUGAGAUGUUGGGUUAAGUCCCGCAACGAGCGCAACCCUUAUCCUCAGUAGCCAGCGGUUCGGCCGGGCACUCUGAGGAGACUGCCAGGGACUAACCUGGAGGAAGGCGGGGAUGACGUCAAAUCAUCAUGCCCCUUAUGAUUGGGGCUACACACGUGCUACAAUGGCGUAAACAGAGGGAAGCAGCCUCGUGAGAGUGAGCAGAUCCCAAAAAUAACGUCUCAGUUCGGAUUGUAGUCUGCAACUCGACUACAUGAAGCUGGAAUCGCUAGUAAUCGCGAAUCAGAAUGUCGCGGUGAAUACGUUCCCGGGUCUUGCACACACCGCCCGUCA
rnacentral:rRNA from 1 species